rnacentral:tRNA from 1 species
GUCAGGAUGGCCGAGCGGUCCAAGGCGCUGCGUUCAGGUCGCAGUCCAGUCUUUUGGGAGAGGAUUCGAAUCCCUCUUCUGACA